GGAACACUGGCCAGCUUGGCAGCUCACCACAGUGGGUUUUGAAAUCCUGGCACUGUACUGUCGGGCACACACACUGUGACUGCAGAUGGGAACAUGGAAGGACAGCAUUUUGUUCAAGGUCUAAGUAAACCUAUCAUUGACUCAAGAACAGAACCAAGGUUUGCUGAUUCCCAUCCUGUACUUUAGCCAUAAGUCAAUCCACAGAGUGAGCCCAUUUUCAAGUAUCUAGUAGCAGAGGAAGAUCACAGGGGAAAAAGAACUCGGAGGAGCUACGGAGUACUAAUCAGAGAAGACAAUGAACAUGACACUGCUGGCCAUGACACUAGAAAGGUUGAUAGAAAUCAGAUGAUGGACUAAAACUCUCAUCACAGCAACUGUUAUUGCAACAGCAUAUGAAUGGUCCCUGCAUGAGAUCAGGGACCCGUUAUGAUGUGCAAACUAAGGCAUGGAGAGGUGUUGGAUAACACCCUGAUCCAGUUGUAAAAUCGGCAUAACUCAGCUGAAAUCAGCAAAGCAAGGCAGCUUAACACCAACUAAAGUUCUGGUCCAGAGACUUGCCCAUGGUCACAUAGCAACUCAAGAUGUGCAGCAAGGAGGCAUGGCGUCCCUCAGAGAUGGAUGCAAAGGGAAUACCACAAGCCACCUGGUGGGCAGAUCCAGGAGGACCAUGCCUUGCACACCGGAAGGAAAGGGGUGGUGUGACCCUGCAUGUUGAGCUGGGUCAGCCCUGUUGCUCCCAUACAGGGGUGGUACACCCCAUCACCCAGUCAUCAGGACUCUCUGUUAAGCAGGUGAUUGUGACCAAGUGGGUUCCAAUACCCUGACAGGGUCAUGUACACAAAUAAUUUGUAGCCCCUGGGCAGCCAAAACAAACAAACAAUCUAGAGCCAUGCAGCCACCUCACUGGGGCACACAGUAGUACUUGGGACGUGGUAGGGGAAUCCAGCCCCACUCUCUACAUCAGGUUCUGACCCAAGGCCCUAUGAAGCCAGAGAAUUCCCCAUCAGGGUUUCAGGUAUCCACUUCUGUUACCUCCCCUGGGUCACUUCCUACUACUAGUUGCAUCCUGGGUAUCUCCUCAGCUGGUGGCAGCUCAGCUUUCCCAUCAGUCAGCAAGUUGUUCACAGCAUAGUCUGGGUGUUCCAGCUCUGCCACCUGGGGCAUCACAGGUACCUCUACAGGAACCCACAGUACAUAUCCUGCUGCCUCCUUUUAUCUAGCUCUUCCACCUGCAGCAUGUGCAAUAGGGGGAGGGGGCAUGGCCUCCUGGGUACACAGUAAUUGGUCCGCCCCCAUUGGCUCCGUGCAGGAUUGGUACACCCCGUCACAGGCAGGACAGGAAAAGGAAGUAUAAAAGGCCGGCCCAGCAGCUCAGUUCAGAGGGAGCUGCUGAGGGAGACAGAUGUCUUCCUUGCUUCUGGAGUGGGAUGCCAAGGAGAACUGCAGCUCCCCCAAGGGCCUGCACAAGCUUCCUGAGAGCUCUGCCACUCCCGAAGCUGAGGAGUUGCUACGGCUACCCUUGGCGGUAUGUCCCGGGGAGACUGAGGAUGACCCCUGGAUGGAGGUACACCCGAGGGGGAGAGUAGGAAGCAGUCCAGGGAAACUAGACAAUGGUCUGGUUGAGACCUGGCCUGAUACAAGGUCAGUGUGCUGUGGGCGGAUCCCUGCUGACCCAGUAGCGGACCAUUCUGCCACUGUUAGGGCCCUGGGCUGGCAGUACUCCCCCUCCUUAGGCCUGCGCCUCAGGCACCCUUGUCUGAGCCCAGAGACUGUGCUUGAUGCUCACCCCUGCCUGAGUCCCAUAGACUGGGGCUGGUGCUACAGCUCUGCCUGACACAGGCCAGAGCCUUGACUGUUUGCUGCCCUGCCCUGCUUAAAGGCUGGGUGAAUAAAACACUAUAGCUCUGCCUGGCUGCAAGCCAGAGCCCAGACUGUUUAUGGCCAUGCCCCGCAUGAAGGCCAGGGCCCAUUGAGAACUGCUAAUUCCCCCCUUCUUUUCUUUGAUUGAAUACUCUAGCAGACCAAACUACGAGGAGGCAUGGCCUCCUUCAGAAGCAGACACGGAGGGACGAUGACGCCAGCUUACAGAUGCCUGGUCAUAAAUGUUCCUGUUAUUAUUUACCAGAUACAUUUCUAUAGUGCCUUUUGCAGUAGCUGGCUUGUAAAGGCAUGUUAGAAAUACCUCCAAAGUCUACAAAGAAAACAAAAUGUAUAUAUUUUAUA